CUCGAUUCCACCCCGAAAAUUAUUGGAUGUCAUCCUGCACGUGUCCUCCACUUCGCUCGGACGCGAAAGAACCCCUCAAACCCUCUUAUGCCGCACGCUUCCACGCCGCCCGGCAAACCCCUCUCCCGCCAAAGAUCCCCCGCCUCUGCCGUCCCUCACCACUCCUGGAACUCAAACUUCCACCUUGAAACCAGGCGGAGAGACCCGAGACCACUGCCUUCGAUAUCCAGAAGCGGCAGAGGCCUGUGCUCCAUUUUUCAGAUUUUUGGCUGAUUUUUCUUGCAUUCAUUGGAGACUUUUGGAGCGGGUGGAUUCUGUGAAACUACGUCCUGAUGGGACUAUGGAAAGAUAAAUGGCUCGGUUGGUUGCUCUUGGUAAUAGGUAGGAAUAUGAAGUGGAUUAUGAUGAGACUUUUGCUCCGGUGGCUAAGAUGACUACAGUACGAACAGUUCUUGCCAUUGCUGCUUCUAAAGGUUGGCCCCUAUGUCAAAUGGACGUUAAGAAUGCUUUUCUGCAUGGUGAUCUCAAGGAGGAGAUUUUUAUGACACCUUCGCUAGGUUUAUUCACUACCCCAUCUUCUGAUGUGUGCAUGCUGAAGCGCUCUCUCUAUGGCUUGAAGCAGGCUCCUCGUGCUUGGUUUGAUAAGUUCCGCUCCACAUUACUUGGUUUUUCCUUUGUCCAAAGUUCAAGUAUGACUCUUACUUGUUUCUCCGUAAGGCGGAGAGUGGUAUUGUUCUCCUGGUUUAUGUCGAUGAUAUAGUUAUCACAGGGACAGAUUCUAUGUUGAUUUAGCAGCUUCAACAGCACCUACAAGCUUCAUUUCACAUGAAGGAUCUUGGUUCUCUUCAAUAUUUCUUGGGCCUUGAGGUGAAGUCUGGACCUGUGGGUACUUUCUUGCAUCAACAUAAGUAUACGUAGGAUUUGAUUGCUUUGCCUGGACUUCAGGAUGCUUCUUCUAUUGACACACCUUUGGAGGUAAAUGUGAAGUAUUGUCGUGAGGAGGGCGAGCUUCUUUCUGAUCCUUCGCUGUAUCGACAGUUGGUUGGGAGUCUGAACUAUUUGACCAUAACUCGGCCUGAUAUUUUCUUUGUUUUUCAGCAAGUUAGUUAGUUUAUGCAGACUCCUUGGCACCUGCAUUUGACUGCAGUCCACCGUAUUUGAGAGGCACUCCAGAUCGCGGCUUAUUCUUUCAUGUUGGUUCACCUAUUCAGUUGAGUGCAUACAGUGAUGCUGAUUGGGCUGGCUGCCCAGAUACGCGUCGCUCAUUUACGGGCUGGUGGAUGUUUCUUGGCAAUGCACUCAUUUCAUGGAAAAGUAAGAAAUAGGACCGUAUUUCUAAGUCUUCAACGGAGUUUGAUAUCGAGACAUGUCCUCUGCAUGUUCUAAGAUUAUUUGGCUUCGUGGAUUGUUGGCUGGCUUGGGUUCCCUCAACUUGAGCCCACUUCUCUUCAUGCGGAUAACACUAGUGUGAUUCAUAUUGCAGCUAAUCCUAUCUUUCAUGAGCGAACCAAGCAUAUUGAGGUGGAUUGUCACUCCAUUCGUGAGGCUUAUGACCAACGUGUUAUCACUCUACAACAGUUGCUCUUUAGCAAGAAGCACUAUUAAAUCAAGUAGGCUAGUUUGAAGCAAGAAAGGAAAAGCUAAUCUUUUGCAGGUCCUUUCGAACCAGAUAUUGAAUGACCUGCAAAAGAACUAGAAUGAACACCAUCUGUUUCCCUCAUAUCACCACGGAUUUUUAGAUUGCUGAUGUAUUUACCAAGGCUAUGACUCGUCAACGUCAUUAGUUUCUAGUUGGCAAAUUGAUGCUUCUUGAUCAGCUAGCAUCAAUUUGAGGGGGGAUGUUAAUAGGGUCGGCAGAUCCUAUUUCUUUAUGGUUUCCAUAGCAAAUCUAAUUACCUUUAUUAUUUCUGCAAUCUACUCAUUUUCUUUGUUAUUUCUAUUAACUCUGUACAGCUUAGUUUUCCUAAUUUAGGUAGCAGAACUAAUUGGCAGAUUUACUGUGUAUAGCUGUCUAUAGCUAGUUGCCAUGUAUAGUUGUCUAUAGCUAAUUUUCCUGUACAGUUUUUCUAUUUAAUGGGAUUCUCACAAAGAUGAGAGAUCAUUCAGUCAA